rnacentral:tRNA from 1 species
GGGGAUUAGCUCAGCUGGGAGAGCAUCUGCCUUACAAGCAGAGGGUCGGCGGUUCGAGCCCGUCAUCCCCACCA